CAAGAGGGGCGGACAAUCGCUGGCUUGAACAUUGUUGAUAGCGGGAGGAAAGUCCGGACUUCAUAGGAACAAGAUGACGGCUAACGGCCGCCCGGGGCAACCCGAGGGACAGUGCCACAGAAAAUAAACCGCCCUGCUUUGUUCAGGGUAAGGAUGAAACGGCGAGGUAAGAGCUCACCGCUUGACCGGCAACGGUUCAAGGCAUGGUAAACCCCAUCUGAAGCAAGACCAAGAAAAUGGCUGCAAUUCAAUUUGCAAGGUAUUGUUCCUAUACCGCCUGAUAGGUAGGUCGCCAGAAAGUUAUAGUAAUAUAGCUUCUAGAUGAAUGAUUGUCCUUUGACAAAAUCCGGCUUACAACCCCUCUUAUUUU
rnacentral:RNase_P_RNA from 1 species